AUCCAUCUGCUCCAGCUGGGGCUUGGCUGCACUGCAGUGGGUCGCCCUGGCCCCAGCCCAGCUUGACUUGGCCAGGGGGUCUAAGGGAGGGCAGUGCCUGCCAGCAGGGGCCACUCUGCUGCCCCGGCCUAGCCCACAGGGCACCCCUCCCCACUCCUCACAGUUCACCUUGGGGGCUUUGGCACUGUCGGUGCUGUUCGGCUCCUUGGGCAGGAUGGGCUCCAGCACGGGCUGCUCGCGAGAUGGGAGACUGAGGAACAGGAAGCCCAAGAUUUGUCUAAGUAGUAUGGACCAUCUGUACCUAAACAGGAAAUGAACUGGGUCUCCAGAGCUCCAGAAAAAGGCUGUCAUCAUAGGGUCAUCUAUUUUCACCGUGCCACAAUGCUUCUUGUGAAAUAAAAUGCCUUUUGCUGCUCCCCUGGGAAUCUAA